rnacentral:rRNA from 1 species
GGGUUGUGAGGUUAAGCGACUAAGCGUACACGGUGGAUGCCUAGGCAGUCAGAGGCGAUGAAGGGCGUGCUAAUCUGCGAUAAGCGUCGGUAAGCUGAUAUGAAGCGUUAUACCCGACGAUACCCGAAUGGGGAAACCCAGUGUGUUUCGACACACUAUCAUGACAUGAAUACAUAGUGUCAUGAGGCGAACCGGGGGAACUGAAACAUCUCAGUACCCCGAGGAAAAGAAAUCAACCGAGAUUCCCCCAGUAGCGGCGAGCGAACGGGGAGGAGCCCAGAACCUGAAUCAGUUUGUGUGUUAGUGGAAGCGUCUGGAAAGUCGCACAGUAAAGGGUGAUAGUCCCGUACACAAAAAUGCACAAGUUGUGAGUUCGAUGAGUAGGGCGGGACACGUGACAUCCUGUCUGAAUAUGGGGGGACCAUCCUCCAAGGCUAAAUACUCCUGACUGACCGAUAGUGAACCAGUACCGUGAGGGAAAGGCGAAAAGAACCCCGGCGAGGGGAGUGAAAUAGAACCUGAAACCGUGUACGUACAAGCAGUGGGAGCCUACUUGUUAGGUGACUGCGUACCUUUUGUAUAAUGGGUCAGCGACUUAUAUUCUGUAGCAAGGUUAACCGAAUAGGGGAGCCGCAGGGAAACCGAGUCUUAACUGGGCGUUAAGUUGCAGGGUAUAGACCCGAAACCCGGUGAUCUAGCCAUGGGCAGGUUGAAGGUUGGGUAACACUAACUGGAGGACCGAACCGACUAAUGUUGAAAAAUUAGCGGAUGACUUGUGGCUGGGGGUGAAAGGCCAAUCAAACCGGGAGAUAGCUGGUUCUCCCCGAAAGCUAUUUAGGUAGCGCCUCGUGAAUUCAUCUUCGGGGGUAGAGCACUGUUUCGGCUAGGGGGUCAUCCCGACUUACCAACCCGAUGCAAACUCCGAAUACCGAAGAAUGUUAUCACGGGAGACACACGGCGGGUGCUAACGUUCGUCGUGAAGAGGGAAACAACCCAGACCGCCAGCUAAGGUCCCAAAGUCAUGGUUAAGUGGGAAACGAUGUGGGAAGGCAUAGACAGCCAGGAUGUUGGCUUAGAAGCAGCCAUCAUUUAAAGAAAGCGUAAUAGCUCACUGGUCGAGUCGGCCUGCGCGGAAGAUGUAACGGGGCUAAACCAUGCACCGAAGCUGCGGCAGCGACACGUAAGUGUUGUUGGGUAGGGGAGCGUUCUGUAAGCCGUCGAAGGUGGCCUGUGAGGGCUGCUGGAGGUAUCAGAAGUGCGAAUGCUGACAUAAGUAACGAUAAUGCGGGUGAAAAACCCGCACGCCGGAAGACCAAGGGUUCCUGUCCAACGUUAAUCGGGGCAGGGUGAGUCGACCCCUAAGGCGAGGCUGAAAAGCGUAGUCGAUGGGAAACAGGUUAAUAUUCCUGUACUCGGUGUUACUGCGAAGGGGGGACGGAGAAAGCUAGGUUAUCCGGGCGACGGUUGUCCCGGUUUAAGCGUGAAGGUGGAUGACCUUGGUAAAUCCGGGUCGUCAUUAACACUGAGGCGUGAUGACGAGUCACUACGGUGAUGAAGUAACCGAUGCUACGCUUCCAGGAAAAGCCUCUAAGCUCCAGGUAACAUCAAAUCGUACCCCAAACCGACACAGGUGGUCAGGUAGAGAAUACUCAGGCGCUUGAGAGAACUCGGGUGAAGGAACUAGGCAAAAUGGUGCCGUAACUUCGGGAGAAGGCACGCUGAUGGUAGGUGAAGUGACAUGCUCACGGAGCUGAACUCAGUCGAAGAUACCAGCUGGCUGCAACUGUUUAAUAAAAACACAGCACUGUGCAAACACGAAAGUGGACGUAUACGGUGUGACGCCUGCCCGGUGCCGGAAGGUUAAUUGAUGGGGUCAGCCGCAAGGCGAAGCUCUUGAUCGAAGCCCCGGUAAACGGCGGCCGUAACUAUAACGGUCCUAAGGUAGCGAAAUUCCUUGUCGGGUAAGUUCCGACCUGCACGAAUGGCGUAAUGAUGGCCAGGCUGUCUCCACCCGAGACUCAGUGAAAUUGAACUCGCUGUGAAGAUGCAGUGUACCCGCGGCAAGACGGAAAGACCCCGUGAACCUUUACUAUAGCUUGACACUGAACCUUGAGCCUUGAUGUGUAGGAUAGGUGGGAGGCUUUGAAGCGUGGACGCCAGUCUGCGUGGAGCCAACCUUGAAAUACCACCCUUUAAUGUUUGAUGUUCUAACGUGGGCCCGUAAUCCGGGUUGCGGACAGUGUCUGGUGGGUAGUUUGACUGGGGCGGUCUCCUCCCAAAGCGUAACGGAGGAGCACGAAGGUUAGCUAAUCCUGGUCGGACAUCAGGAGGUUAGUGCAAAGGCAUAAGCUAGCUUGACUGCGAGAGUGACAGCUCGAGCAGGUGCGAAAGCAGGUCUUAGUGAUCCGGUGGUUCUGAAUGGAAGGGCCAUCGCUCAACGGAUAAAAGGUACUCCGGGGAUAACAGGCUGAUACCGCCCAAGAGUUCAUAUCGACGGCGGUGUUUGGCACCUCGAUGUCGGCUCAUCACAUCCUGGGGCUGAAGUAGGUCCCAAGGGUAUGGCUGUUCGCCAUUUAAAGUGGUACGCGAGCUGGGUUUAGAACGUCGUGAGACAGUUCGGUCCCUAUCUGCCGUGGGCGUUGGAAGAUUGAGAGGGGUUGCUCCUAGUACGAGAGGACCGGAGUGAACGCACCACUGGUGUUCGGGUUGUGAUGCCAAUUGCAUUGCCCGGUAGCUAAGUGCGGAAGAGAUAACCGCUGAAAGCAUCUAAGCGGGAAACUUGCCUCGAGAUGAGUCUUCCCUGGGCACCAGAUGCCCCUGAAGGGCCGUUGAAGACGACGACGUAGAUAGGCUGGGUGUGUAAGCGUAGCGAUACGUUGAGCUAACCAGUACUAAUGACCCGAGAGGCUUAACCUUACAACACCGAAGGUGUUU